GUGAGCGGCGGCUGGUCGGGCCACGACCACGUGGACUGGAGCGCGCACCGGGCCAGUCCGGGCCGCGCGGGGCAGGAGACUGACGUGGCGGGGACCGCCUCCGCGCCCUGGGCGAGCCGUGACGCCCCGGCGUCGGCCGCAUCUCCCCGAGACUGUGCCCGGCUGUGGGACGGGCGCCGCCGGCUCUGCCCCUUCCCUGAGGUCCCCUCGCUCCGUCGCCCGGGCCCCCGAAGGCGGCAGCCGGGGCCUUGCGAGCAUCUCACACCAUCUUACAGCGAAGCUCGGAGCGCGACACGCAGCCGCAGGCGACCCCGCCCCAGCUGAGCCCUCGGGACCCACCCUGGUCGCCCGACCCUCGGGCCCUGCUCAGCCCAACCGGACCCCUGGCGUGGCAGGGGCGGCAGCACGGAUGAAUACGGCGCAGGGCUGUGUGACCUUCGAGGAUGUGUUCGUGUACUUCUCCCGGGAGGAGUGGGAGCUCCUUGAGGAAGCUCAGAGACUCCUGUACCGUGAUGUGAUGCUGGAGAACUUUGCACUUGUGUCCUCACUGGGACUCGCCGUUUCCAGGUCCCAUGUUGUUACCCACAUGGAGCCGGAGGGGAGCCCAGGGUGCCUGAGAAGGUAAACACAGCUCCAGCUACAGCAAAGCAGAUCUGGAGGAGGCCUGGCCCUGGUUGAUGGCAUGGAGUGAAGGAUGAGGCUGCGCAUUCUAAGCGGGGUGUUUCUGUGAGUGUCACAGAUGGGAACUCCCAAGGCAGGUCCUUCCACCCGAAAGGUUCAUCCCUGUGAUAUGUGUGACCCAGUCUUGAAAGACAUCUUUGCACCUGGCUGAGCCACAGGGAACACCAUCUGAGCAGCAGGAGAGACUUCUGGUGUAGUAUAAAUCUUGACCAGAUGCAGAAGCCGCAGAGUUGAGAAAGUUUCUUCAGAAAGGAAGGGAGCCAGGCUUCAUUUGUGAAGAUCUGCAGAUCCCAUGUGUUGGAGAAGGCUUCUACUUGCAGGGAGGGUGGGAAGAACUUUGUGGGCAGCUCUGGACUUAUCCGGCACCAGGCUUCUCGCAGCAGGGAGAAACCACACAGGGGUCCUGAGUGUGGGGAGGCCUUUUGUGUAUCAGAUUUCCUUUAGGCAAGAAAGCACAACCCGAGACCAUAAGCCUUCUAUUUGUUGGAGGCAGCCUCACUCCAGGGUUGAUUGACUCAGAGCAUCUCAAGGGACUCUUGGUUGUGGUGAACCGGGGAACAAGGGCCAUUGGAAAUGCAGGAAAGGCACCUGACCCUGGGACACUUUCCCACAAGGAGAGUCUUCCCAGGAAGGUGAGCUCUAAGCACAUUGGUGUGGGAACAGCUAAUCUGCAUUCAGGACUUUCAUGAGAGUGAGUCUCUCGGGGAGGGCGGUGCUUUCCAUGAACCACUCACAUGGGCCACAGAAAGCUUCCAUGGUCUAUGGGCAGAAUUUCUACAAGUGGAAGUUUAACAAAUGUUGGCGUGGUUUCGACAUCAGCAGAUCAUGCUGAGGGAAGCCUGUGACCACAGCGAAGGUGAGAAAACCUUUCUUGAGGGAUUUACACUGAGCGAAGCCAGGUCAGGAUUUACAGUGAGCGAAGCCA